rnacentral:rRNA from 1 species
UACGGGGGGAGCAAGCGUUGUUCGGAUUUACUGGGCGUAAAGGGCGCGUAGGCGGUCAGCACAAGUCAGUUGUGAAAUCUCCGGGCUUAACUCGGAAAGGUCAACUGAUACUGUGCGACUAGAGUGCGGAAGGGGCAACUGGAAUUCUCGGUGUAGCGGUGAAAUGCGUAGAUAUCGAGAGGAACACCUGCGGCGAAGGCGGGUUGCUGGGCCGACACUGACACUGAGGCGCGAAAGCGUGGGGAGCGAACAGG